rnacentral:rRNA from 1 species
UACGUAGGUGGCGAGCGUUGUUCGGAUUCAUUGGGCGUAAAGGGUGCGUAGGCGGCGCGGUAAGUCGGGUGUGAAAUCUCGGAGCUUAACUCCGAAACUGCAUUCGAUACUGCCGUGCUUGAGGACUGGAGAGGAGACUGGAAUUUACGGUGUAGCGGUGAAAUGCGUAGAUAUCGUAAGGAAGACCAGUGGCGAAGGCGGGUCUCUGGACAGUUCCUGACGCUGAGGCACGAAGGUCAGGGGAGCAAACGGG